rnacentral:rRNA from 1 species
AUUGAACGCUGGCGGCAUGCUUUACACAUGCAAGUCGAACGGUAACAGGUUAAGCUGACGAGUGGCGAACGGGUGAGUAAUGCAUCGGAACGUGCCCGGUCGUGGGGGAUAACGUAGCGAAAGUUACGCUAAUACCGCAUACGAUCUAAGGAUGAAAGCGGGGGAUCGCAAGACCUCGCGCGAUUGGAGCGGCCGAUAUCAGAUUAGGUAGUUGGUGGGGUAAAGGCUCACCAAGCCAACGAUCUGUAGCUGGUCUGAGAGGACGACCAGCCACACUGGAACUGAGACACGGUCCAGACUCCUACGGGAGGCAGCAGUGGGGAAUUUUGGACAAUGGACGCAAGUCUGAUCCAGCCAUUCCGCGUGCAGGAUGAAAGGCCCUCGGGUUGUAAACUGCUUUGUACGGACGAAAAGGUUUCUAUUAAUACUAGGAGCUCAUGACGGUACCGUAAAGAAUAAGCACCGGCUAACUACGUG